rnacentral:rRNA from 1 species
GUGCACGCUGGCGGUAGGCCUAACACAUGCAAGUCGAACGGCAGCACAGUAAGAGCUUGCUCUUACGGGUGGCGAGUGGCGGACGGGUGAGGAAUACAUCGGAAUCUACUUUUUCGUGGGGGAUAACGUAGGGAAACUUACGCUAAUACCGCAUACGACCUACGGGUGAAAGCAGGGGAUCUUCGGACCUUGCGCGAUUGAAUGAGCCGAUGUCGGAUUAGCUGGUUGGCGGGGUAAAGGCCCACCAAGGCGACGAUCCGUAGCUGGUCUGAGAGGAUGAUCAGCCACACUGGAACUGAGACACGGUCCAGACUCCUACGGGAGGCAGCAGUGGGGAAUAUUGGACAAUGGGCGCAAGCCUGAUCCAGCCAUACCGCGUGGGUGAAGAAGGCCUUCGGGUUGUAAAGCCCUUUUGUUGGGAAAGAAAAGCAGCAGGUUAAUACCCCGCUGUUCUGACGGUACCCAAAGAAUAAGCACCGGCUAACUUCGUG